rnacentral:rRNA from 1 species
GAUGAACGCUGGCGGCGUGCCUAAUACAUGCAAGUCGAGCGAACAGACGAGGAGCUUGCUCCUCUGACGUUAGCGGCGGACGGGUGAGUAACACGUGGAUAACCUACCUAUAAGACUGGGAUAACUUCGGGAAACCGCAGCUAAUACCGGAUAAUAUAUUGAACCGCAUGGUUCAAUAGUGAAAGACGGUUUUGCUGUCACUUAUAGAUGGAUCCGCGCCGCAUUAGCUAGUUGGUAAGGUAACGGCUUACCAAGGCAACGAUGCGUAGCCGACCUGAGAGGGUGAUCGGCCACACUGGAACUGAGACACGGUCCAGACUCCUACGGGAGGCAGCAGUAGGGAAUCUUCCGCAAUGGGCGAAAGCUUGACGGAGCAACGCCGCGUGAGUGAUGAAGGUCUUCGGAUCGUAAAACUCUGUUAUUAGGGAAGAACAAAUGUGUAAGUAACUAUGCACGUCUUGACGGUACCUAAUCAGAAAGCCACGGCUAACUACGUG